rnacentral:tRNA from 1 species
GCAAAAGAUAGCUCAGUUGGUAGAGCAUGAGACUUUUAAUCUCAGGGUCUUGGGUUUGAGCCCCUAGUUGGGCA